ACAUUACACACACACACAAAUAAACACUGCCUUCUUCAUCAUGUUGAGAGAAAAACCCUAACUCCAUAACACACCUUCAUUCCUGUCUCUGCAUCUUAUCUUGGUGAAACCCUAGCUUAUACACAACAUCAACACCCUCUGCUCUCUCUCAACACUCACCUGCCACACCCUCACUCCCUAAAUCUGGUCAUCGGAAUUCUCACCGGCGACGUUCCCUCACGGCCAGCCGUUCUUCAGUUAUAACUCACUAACACAACCCCCGACUCGAUUCUUCGCUGAUAAAGACCACUGGCAGAACCAGAGAGAUACCGGAGGAAGAAAGGGAGCCACCGUACACUGCGGCGGCGACGACGAUAGUGGCGUACGGCUCGAGUAAGAAAAAUCGGAGAGAGAGAGAGACUGAGUAGAGAGAGAGAGUUGGAGAGCCGACAUCGCCGACAACGUCACCGGCGACCAACGCCGUUCACGGCGGCAGUGGUGGCGGCAGUGGAUUCCGGUCAGCAAUCAAGUCUCGUGAGUCUCUGGUCAGAUUAAAGUUUCGAGUCAACACCGGGUCAAACCCGGUCAGAGCUGGUUAAAGACGGUCAACGACAGAUUAUUUCGGGUUCGACUGUGGUUGUAAAAGUCCCGCCUAGGCUCCGAGUACUCCCCGAGUACUCGCUACAAGGUAGGCUGCCGAGUCACGAGUACUGGUCUCCCAGGCUAAUUACUCCCCGAGUAAUCUCCGCCUAUGCCGAGUACUUCCUGAGUACUCCCGAAUCCGACUAAGGAGCGCCUAGCGACUUUUGCAACCAUGGGUUCGAGUCAACUAAUCAACUCGGACAGAUUCAGUUUUAGUCUAGUUCGGUCAACAGCUUCGGUUCGACUUCGGUUCGCGGUCAGACGGUUCGGUUCGGUUGACUCUGUUAAACCGAGUCGACCCGGUCAAACCUGGUCAACAGUGAGUUGACUCGGUCAACUCAGUCCAUUUUUCGAUGACUCAGCGAGAGUUGUGGUAAUGGUUUAAAGUCGUGAAUUCGUUGCAUUACCUUUAUAAUUUUAUUCACACGUGACAAACGAGCUCUCGAACCGAAUGUUAAAAUCGUAUAUAUAUAGUUGUGGUUUCAUAUAUUAUCAUGUUUUAUAACUUGUGUUUAUAAAUAUUUGUUUGAAAACUUGUUGAAUCAUGAUAAAUGACAACAACUUGUGUUGUCGGGGGCGUCCAAAAACAGAGGAAACUCUGCAUGUUUUUCGAGAAAAUCCAUAAAUACGAAGCGUAUUUAUUAUAAAACAAAACGUCGGAAUUCAAAUAAUCUUUAGUUAAAACAAAUACAAAAUAUCUACGGCACUUUACAACAUCAUGGAAAACGACAAUUUGAUUUUAUUUUCGACAAUGCCUUUAUAAAAUAAAACGUGAUAUAAUCUUUUCUAUUCUUUCAUUAUUUUCGACAAACCUUUCAAGUAUCAAACAAUACGAAAUCUUUUCGCAAAGAUAAAUAUAGUUUAUGUUUAUUUCAAAUGUCGAACAAUACGAAACCGUUUCUUAAAAAUGAAUAUAGUUUAUAUUUAUUUCAAAUACCAAACGGCAUGACUUCGUUUUAUAAAAAUAAAUAUAGUUGGUACAUUUAUUUUAAACAUCAAGCGGCUCGUACUCUUUUAUAAAAAUAGAUAUAACUUAUCUAUUUAUUUCAAACAUCCAACAACUCGAUGAUGUUUUUAUAAAUAAAAUAUAAGUUUUUAUAUUUAUUUUAAACACCUAAACGGCAUCUGCAUAUAUUUCGACAAAUAUCAUACGCGAUAUAUAAUACAAGUCUGUUAUAUGUAAUUUUCAUAUAAAUAUUCUUUUUAUACACGUACGACUUCUCGGGACGACAAGCGAUUUCAACGAUAUAUUUAUAUGUUUUUAUAAAUAUUUAUUUUAAAUCUCUCGAGAAUCAAGUCUUUUCAAGACAUAUUGAUUAUUAGCGACAUUAAGCGAAACUAAACAAGUAUCACAUAAUCAUUUUUGUUAAGUUAAUAACUUACCGUCGAAUCGUUCGACUAACGAUUCGGUAGAGGUCGAUGACACGUAGUUUAGUUACUACGUUUAUUUAGGAACUUAUAAGAUAUUAUGUGUUAGGAAUAUUGUAGAAUGCACGCUAGCGAGUCUCGUCUUGGAAACGACAUCACGAAGUCGUAUAUAGCUUGCUUUGCACAAGAAUAUUCAGGUACUUUUAAAAGUUAAGGCACGGUUGGAAUAGGAGAGCCAUUGGAGAUUCGAGUACCUAGUGGGCGUUCAUUUUCUAGAAGUCUUAGCUUUAUUUGCUUCCGCUGUGCAAUGAAGAUACCAGUCCAGUUACGCCAGCUUUGAUAAUUUCGGGGUGUGACAGAUUGGUAUCAGAGCUAUAGGUUACAGCGAAUUAGGUCUCUAUAGGAAUACCUAGUGUGACACUCUAGUUUUUCCGAACAAACAUCUUGUAAUAUCAUUUUGUAUAUAUAUAUUAUUAAAUGGAAACGUGAC
rnacentral:lncRNA from 1 species